AGCGAACGCUGGCGGCAGGCCUAACACAUGCAAGUCGAGCGCCGUAGCAAUACGGAGCGGCAGACGGGAGAGUAACACGUGGGAACGUGCCCUUCAGUUCGGAACAACCCAGGGAAACUUGGGCUAAUACCGGAUACGCCCUUACGGGGAAAGAUUCAUCGCUGAAGGAUCGGCCCGCGUCCGAUUAGCUAGUUGGUGAGGUAACGGCUCACCAAGGCGACGAUCGGUAGCUGGUCUGAGAGGAUGAUCAGCCUCACUGGGACUGAGACACGGCCCAGACUCCUACGGGAGGCAGCAGUGGGGAAUAUUGGACAAUGGGCGCAAGCCUGAUCCAGCCAUGCCGCGUGGAUGAUGAAGGCCCUAGGGUUGUGAAGUCCUUUCGGCGGGGAAGAUAAUGACGGUACCCGCAGAAGAAGCCCCGGCUAACUUCGUGCCAGCCGCCGCAGUAAUAC
rnacentral:rRNA from 1 species